GUUUGGUUAAGUUAGAAAGGGCGCACGGUGGAUGCCUUGACACUAGGAGUCGAUGAAGGACGGGACUAACGCCGAUAUGCUUCGGGGAGCUGUAAGUAAGCUUUGAUCCGAAGAUUUCCGAAUGGGGAAACCCACCAUACGUAAUGGUAUGGUAUCCUUAUCUGAAUACAUAGGGUAAGGAAGACAGACCCAGGGAACUGAAACAUCUAAGUACCUGGAGGAAGAGAAAGCAAAUGCGAUUUCCUGAGUAGCGGCGAGCGAAACGGAACAUAGCCCAAACCAAGAGGCUUGCCUCUUGGGGUUGUAGGACAUUCUAUACGGAGUUACAAAGGAAUGAGGUAGACGAAGCGACCUGGAAAGGUCCGUCGUAGAGGGUAACAACCCCGUAGUCGAAACUUCAUUCUCUCUUGAAUGUAUCCUGAGUACGGCGGAACACGUGAAAUUCCGUCGGAAUCUGGGAGGACCAUCUCCCAAGGCUAAAUACUCCCUAGUGAUCGAUAGUGAACCAGUACCGUGAGGGAAAGGUGAAAAGCACCCCGGAAGGGGAGUGAAAGAGAUCCUGAAACCGUGUGCCUACAAAUAGUCAGAGCCCGUUAAUGGGUGAUGGCGUGCCUUUUGUAGAAUGAACCGGCGAGUUACGAUCCCGUGCGAGGUUAAGCUGAAGAGGCGGAGCCGCAGCGAAAGCGAGUCUGAAUAGGGCGUUUAGUACGUGGUCGUAGACCCGAAACCAGGUGAUCUACCCAUGUCCAGGGUGAAGUUCAGGUAACACUGAAUGGAGGCCCGAACCCACGCACGUUGAAAAGUGCGGGGAUGAGGUGUGGGUAGCGGAGAAAUUCCAAUCGAACCUGGAGAUAGCUGGUUCUCCCCGAAAUAGCUUUAGGGCUAGCCUUAAGUUUAAGAGUCUUGGAGGUAGAGCACUGAUUGGACUAGGGGUCCUCAUCGGAUUACCGAAUUCAGUCAAACUCCGAAUGCCAACGACUUAUACUUAGGAGUCAGACUGCGAGUGAUAAGAUCCGUAGUCAAAAGGGAAACAGCCCAGACCGCCAGCUAAGGUCCCAAAGUGUGUAUUAAGUGGAAAAGGAUGUGGAGUUGCUUAGACAACUAGGAUGUUGGCUUAGAAGCAGCCACCAUUUAAAGAGUGCGUAAUAGCUCACUAGUCGAGUGACUCUGCGCCGAAAAUGUACCGGGGCUAAAUACACCACCGAAGCUGCGGAUUGAUACCAAUGGUAUCAGUGGUAGGGGAGCGUUCUAAGGACAGUGAAGUCAGACCGUAAGGACUGGUGGAGUGCUUAGAAGUGAGAAUGCCGGUAUGAGUAGCGAAAGACGGGUGAGAAUCCCGUCCACCGAAUGCCUAAGGUUUCCUGAGGAAGGCUCGUCCGCUCAGGGUUAGUCAGGACCUAAGCCGAGGCCGACAGGCGUAGGCGAUGGACAACAGGUUGAUAUUCCUGUACCACCUCUUUAUCGUUUGAGCAAUGGAGGGACGCAGAAGGAUAGAAGAAGCGUGCGAUUGGUUGUGCACGUCCAAGCA
rnacentral:rRNA from 1 species